rnacentral:rRNA from 1 species
AAAACUUUCAACAACGGAUCUCUUGGUUCUCGCAUCGAUGAAGAACGCAGCGAAAUGCGAUACGUAAUGUGAAUUGCAGAAUUCCGUGAAUCAUCGAAUCUUUGAACGCACAUUGCGCCUUUUGGUAUUCCAGGAGGCAUGCCUGUUUGAGCGUCAU